rnacentral:rRNA from 1 species
UACGGGGGGGGGCAAGCGUUGUUCGGAAUUACUGGGCGUAAAGGGCUUGUAGGUGGCCAACUAAGUCAGACGUGAAAUCCCCUCGGCUUAACCGGGGAACUGCGUCUGAUACUGGAUGGCUUGAGUGUGGGAGAGGGAUGCGGAAUUCCAGGUGUAGCGGUGAAAUGCGUAGAUAUCUGGAGGAACACCGGUGGCGAAGGCGGCAUCCUGGACCAACACUGACACUGAGGAGCGAAAGCCAGGGGAGCAAAACGGGG